rnacentral:rRNA from 1 species
UACGUAGGGCGCAAGCGUUUAUCCGGAAUUAUUGGGCGUAAAGAGCUCGUAGGCGGUUUGUCGCGUCUGCCGUGAAAGUCCGAGGCUCAACCUCGGAUCUGCGGUGGGUACGGGCAGACUAGAGUGAUGUAGGGGAGACUGGAAUUCCUGGUGUAGCGGUGAAAUGCGCAGAUAUCAGGAGGAACACCGAUGGCGAAGGCAGGUCUCUGGGCAUUAACUGACGCUGAGGAGCGAAAGCAUGGGGAGCGAACAGG